rfam:Microvirga vignae strain BR3299 T20BR3299_1_(paired)_contig_32, whole genome shotgun sequence.
ACCCAGAUCCGGGCCCCUCUGACGUGAGCCUGCUGGCGCUUACGUGAUGUCGGAUCCUCACC